AACGAACGCUUGCGGCAUGCUUAAAACAUGCAAGUCGAACGAGAAAGUGGCUUCGGCCAUGAGUAUAGUGGCGCACGGGUGAGUAACACGUAGCUAACGUUCCUCUUCGCUGGGGAUAACCUCGGGAAACCGAGGCUAAUACCGAAUGAUCUGACACGGCCUUUGGACUGUGUCGGUAAAGCCUUCGGGCGCGAGGAGAUCGGGUUGCGUCCCAUUAGCUAGUUGGUAGGGUAAUGGCCAACCAAGGCUACGAUGGGUAGCUGGUCUGAGAGGAUGAUCAGCCACACUGGAACUGAAACACGGUCCAGACUCCCACGGGAGGCAGCAGUUGGGAAUAUUGGACAAUGGGGGAAACCCUGAUCCAGCAAUGCCGCGUGAAUGAUGAAGGCCUCGGUCGUAAGUU
rnacentral:rRNA from 1 species